rnacentral:lncRNA from 1 species
ACUCCCUGAAGGCCUCCCGAGCCGAAGGACCCGCAGGGCUCCGGGCCGUCUGCGGGGCUGGGUUGCCCUGCUCCCGCUGCCCGCCUGCUGGCUAAUUCUGAUUAUUUCUCUUUCUCCUUGCUCUCUUGGGCGCCUUUAUUCCUGACCGUGCAUUUUCUCUGGGCUCGGGAUUAGAAAAAAACCCACACUGCUAAUAUCCUUGUCAGCCUUUUCCUGAAUCAUUGCCGCGCAGCUCCAGGGAGCCACGGGCCAGCGCCUUCUGGCCGGCAGACUCCAUCCCUGGGCCUUCCUGUCCUUGGGGUCCUGGAGCCCCCUCUCUGAGUCUCCUCAUCUCCUGAAGGCAACACCUAGAGUCCCAGAUCCUCUGAGAAACGCCCAGCCGGGGGAAGCAGAUGGGCCUGAGAACUGAGAGUCCAGCUGAGCUUUUCCAUCUCACAGAUGCGCAAUCCGAACCUCAGAGGGCCUGGUGAUUUGCUCAAGGUCACACAGCUACCAAGGGUCGGGACUCCAGUCUCCAAGUGCGUAACUCAGCCUCAAAGCCAUCUCUUGUGGAAGUACUGCCUUCUUAUAGGAGGCAGAUUUAGAAGGCAGAAGAAAGGGGAGCUUUUCCAUGAACUCAC